UUAAACCUUGAGUCACCGCAACACAUGUCUCUUGCAAAGGACAAGGUUGGGGGUAGGGUCACAGAUUAACAGUAUCACAAAUACAGAACAAAAUGGAGUCUCUUAUGUCUACUUCUUUCUAUAUAGACACAGUAACAGGCUGAUCUCUUUCUUUUCCCCACAGGGCUGACCCUUAGGAAGUGAGGGUCGGGGGGAGCUGAUUUUUUGGCCCUCAGUGGUGCUGGUGCUGACCUGAGAUGCAGUCCACAGUUAUUCCCGAAGAGGUCGUCUGCACAGCCACCGUUUGCUGUCAGAUCUAUACAACCUGGCAUUUGGCCGUGGCUUCCAGGACAGGCUGGAUGCAGAGUGAAGUCCUCUCCUCACUGUCAAUGUUUACAGAUGUCUCUUUGGAAUACAAUGAAAAGUGUAAAAUGAAUUAAACCAGAGAUAAUCAUAUCACUGUGGGUACAUCCGGAAGAUAUAAUACAACGUACACCAAAGAAAGUGACAGAAAGGUAUGUAAAGUGUAUAACCACUCACAUACCAUUUUAGGACACAAAUAAAACUUCUGCAUAUUACUUCUGGGCAUCACAAUAUAGUUAAAGAUUUCAAAAGGGCAUUGAAAUGAAAAACAACCAAUUUAUUAUGUCGGUAGCCUCUAUGCAAUCAUGUUUCAAAAACCUUAACAUCAAAAUGUCUCAAAAUCCCCAUUCUAAAAGACUGUGUCUACCAGUUAUAAAUGAAUAAAUACUUUUCUCAUUUUUAAUAAAGAUGCCACAAACACACACAUACAAACACCUAUACAUAUACAUACACACACAGCUCAUUAGAACAUCUAAUUGGCUUCAGAUCAUCAGUGUAAUAACACUAGCAGCAAGUCUCUAAAGUUAAAACAGAAACUGACACGUUAAUCAGUUAAGCUUUCCUCCAGGUAAAGAUCAGAACUCCAACUAGCACAUAACUCACUGGAAAUAUCUGAGAGUCUCAAAAUUCACUGCUUUGAAUCCCUGUCAUGUAUAAAAAUUUUGUAUUGAAAACUUUCAUGAGGGGUCCUAAAUCUACAUCCCUAGCCCAAAUCUCAUUUCUGAGCUUUAGACUCAUCAUUUUACUGCAUACUUGGUAUGACUGCUUUGAUGUCCCAUAGGCAUCUCUUAAGUGAAACAUCAUUCCUUCCAAGCCUACUCCUCCUAUAUUCCUUUUCUCAGUGAAUGCCAUCCAUCUUCACAAGUAGGAAACAUAAACAUUAACAUAAAUUGCUAUCCUCACUACCAUCGUCUGCACCCAGCUUCCAAUUAAAUGGUUUCACACCAAAUCACUAGAACUUGGACUGAGUGUGGCGUCUAAUGCCUGUAAUAUCGGCAGUUUGGGAGGCCAAGGCAGAAGGAAUGCUUAAGCUCAGGAGUACGAGACUAGCCUGGGCAACAUGGUAAAUUCCCAUUAAAAAAAAAAAAAAAACUACCCAGGACUGGUGGUGCACACCUGUAGUCCAAGUUACUAGACUGAAGGGGGAGGAUCAAUUGAGCCCAGGAGGUCAAGUCUGCAGUAAGCCAUGAUUGUGCCAGUGCACUCCAGCGUGGGCAACAGAGCGAGACCUUGUCUCAAAAAAAAUUCAAAUGAUUAUUCCACAAACACUUAUAAAUCAAGCUGAACAUCUAUGCAUGAAGAAGUGUUAGACAUGGUUUCUACCUGAUGGGAGCUCAUCAUGUGUGGAGAAAUGGAUGCUAAAAGUGUCACGAUAGAUGUAAGCACAGGCAGCCAUGGAAGCACAUAGAACAAGGAGCUAACCCACACUGGGCAAUAACUGAAGGCUUCUUGAUGGUGCUGAUACCUAAGCUGCAGCUUAAAACACAACUCAGGGUUACCCAGACCAAACUCUCCACUGGCUGAAAUCUAUUUGACACUCAGAAAAUGUUUGUUGAUUAUAAGAACGUAAGUAGUGACCCUAUGAAAUUUACAUUACUGGCUAACCCAAUUAACUGAAUACAUUUACUUACAUCUUCAGUUUGUUAUCUUAAAUUACAGGCUUUUCCCUUUUAUUUGCAUAAUAUAACAUAUUCUUUCUUCAAAUCCAACAGUGCAAAGAUAAAAGUCAAACUCAACUCUAUUCCUAACGAGUUUCAAAUUCAACAAAUAUUAUUAAAUAUUACUUACAAAAGGUGUCAGGCACUAAAAAAUAAUUUUUUUGUUUCUUUUGUUUUGUUUUAGACAGGAACUCACUCUGUCACCCAGGCUGCAGUGCAGUGGCACAAUUACAGGUCACUGCACCCUCGACCUCCUGAGCUCAAGUGAUCCUCCUACCUCAUCCUCCUGAGUAUCUGAGACUACAGGUGCAUGCCACCAUGUCUGGCUAAUUUGUGUGUUCCUUGUAGAGAUGGAGUUUUGCUAUGUUGCCCAUGUUAGCCUUGAACUCCUGGGCUCAAGCGAUCCACCUGCCUUGGCCUCCAAAGUGCUGAGAUUACAGGUGUGAGCUACCACACUUGGCCAAGGAAAAGGUUUUCAAUGGAUAUGUAAGUAAAUGUUAGUAAAGAGUGAUGGAGUGUGGAAAAAGCAAGUGAAAUCUCACUUGUAAGAAGGACUCUGCCCUGAUGAUAGUAUCCAGGAAGUUGGUAAAUUCUUUUCCAUGUUCAUAAUUAUUCACCUUGUACCAAAAUACAUUCUAGAGCAGAAAGAGUAAAUAUAAGCAUCUAGCUGUACCACAAUAAAAAAAUGCACAAAACAUAAUUAUCACUAAAGUGACAAAUAAGUGGCAAAGUAAAAAAGCCAUUAGUCUCAUACAUCCUAGCUAACUCAUGAGGUAGACUAGAACAGAUAUGUUCAACAACGUGGUAAUAUAGGGAAAAGCUUAUAGUGAAAACAAAAAUGGAGAACUCACAUAUAAUGAAUAAGGUAAACUUUACAUCACAUAUAAAUCCAAGAAAGUAUAAACAUCUGAAUUGAAAGUUUUAGACUACCCUAAACUUCAAUUAAGCUGGGUAUAAUGUAAGAAUGAUAGAAAUUUAGUAAGUGAAAACCUAAUAAACUCUCAUAUUCUGUUUAAAAGAUUCAGAGUAGAAGAAGGAAAAUUGGCCUGGAACCAACUAAAAGCAACUUUAACAACCAGAAGAAUCCAGAGUUGCUUAUCCACUGAUGAAAUACUCAAUUUGGUCAAAAGAAAUAUCACUGGUCUACUGUCCCCCACCACUGGAGGAAUGAAAUGCCCAGGCUUUACUAUGGCCUGGAUGAAAGACUUCUCACUGCCUUUUCCUUUAAUUCUAUGAUUAAGAAAUCUUCUAAUGACAAAUUUGGUUCCCAUAUACACUGACAGCAGAAAAGGGGUAUUCUAGUUAGCAGAUAUGAACAUUUUGCUUACAAUAAUUUUUUUAAUUAGCUGACAAUCUGGCUUAUACAUUAGUCUCCUGAAUAUGGUUCACACAGAAUCCUUGGUGACUGACAUGUAUUUAAAUAUCUAUAAUCUCCUCUAAGAUCUGAAUGGUUAUUAUUUGGAUUUAACAAAAGAAAGCCAUGCAAGUUGUUUGGGCUUUAGAUACUUACUCUUUUUAGGGGAUAAACAUUAACUGGACCUAACAUCAACUUCAGAGGUUCUAGAGAAGGUCCCUGGUUUCCUUGUUUCAGGGCAAGCAGAGCCGUCUUUCAUAGAUUCUCUGAAUUCUUAAAAUAGAUCUAUAAAUUUGGAUAUAAAGUACAAGAGAGUAGGUAUUCAUAAAUUAGAACAACAUAAAGUCUAAAACUCCUCAUUAAUUGGAAAUAAAUUAUGAAAUCCUGGACACUUUAUUGAGUGAAUGAAGACAUCUAAUUCAUUUGGCAAGUCAGUUAUGAGAGCUUCUACCAUUUCUGUGUGACAUGUAAUACUGUAAUAAACCGACAUGUAAUACUGUAAAGCUCUGUAAAAAAAUUUUAACCCAGCCUAUUUGUAUAAAGGAGAUGUUAACAAUUCAUGCUCCCUUGAACCUCUUCAUUUUUACUUUUAGGACAGGAGCAUUCAUUAACACACUCAAUCAAUUACUAAACACACACAAUCAGUUUCUAAAAUAAAUAUGAUCAAGCAGUAACCGAAAACCUCAACUUAAGGCUAUCAUACCCAAACUCAACUAUUCAGAAGCCAAUUUAAGUAAUCCAUGCCUCCUUGGCAAGAGUGUAUGGAUAAUACCUUUUCCUUGUGAUAGUAAAGCCUAUCCAUUUUCUUACCCUCACCCAGUAUCAGCUUUUAUGCUUUACAGACAAAGCAGAUAAUGAACAUACUGCUUGGAAAUCUUGAGUUUUUAUUAAAAGGUACACAUAGAGUUAUAUCUAAAUCACUGGCUACAAUGAUCUAAAAUGCAGAGUUUUAUCUAAAUAAUUUGCUAUGAUGGUGUAAAACCACUUUAUUUACAUCUUAUAUUAAUCACAGGACAAAAAAUCAUACACUACCUUUAUUUUCAGAACUACAGUCUGUUGCUAUCUGGCGCAGGCAACAUGUCUUCAUAACCCUAUGAUACUAUGUAUUUACCCCCAAGCAAACAGAAGUGAUAUCCAGGCCCCCCUUCCACAAUCAACAGCCUAGAGAAGGAAAAUCAAAGACACUGAGACAAUUCAUUUUAGCAAGAAGUGAACCUGCCACCCCAAAUAGCAGAAAACAAAAUUUUAAAAGUAAACUGUAUAAUUUAUAUGAACAGUAUUCACAAAAGUUAUUCACAGUAUUUUAAAUAAAAAAUUACACAACUGUGUUUCUGAAAAUGUUACAAUAAAAUUAUAUCUGUGUGUAAAAUGUCUGUUUUAUGUGUACAUUUGUGUGUGUGAGAAAGGGGGUUAUGAAUUAUCAAGCAUAUGUACCAAAACAUUAGAAGUUAUCUUUGCAUAAGGAGAUAAUGAUUUUUACUUUCUUCUUUAUGCCUUAAUAUAUCAUCAUCUCAAAAUUUACAAUCAGAAUUCAUUAUAAGCUAUUGUAUAUGUAUGUAUGUAUAUAUGUAUGUAUGUAUGUAUGUAUGUAUGUGUGUGUUUAUUUAGUGAGACGUGGUCUCACUCUCUUACUCAGGCUGUAGAGUGCAGUGGCGUGAUCUUGGCUCGCUGCAACCUCAGUCUCCCAGGCUCAAGUAAUCCUCCCCACCUGAGCCUCCUAAGUAGCUGAGACCAACUAAAGUUGUUUUCUUCAGUUUAAAGUAAGUUGUCAUAAUUAUGUUGUUUAGUCUCAUGGUAACCAGAAAACAAAACCCAAUAAUAGACGCCCUACACAUAAAGAGGAAUUAAAACACACUACUGGAAAAAAUUACUUCACUACAAAUAAAUACAGGAAGGAAGGCAAGGAGGAGAGAAAAAAAAG
rnacentral:lncRNA from 1 species